rnacentral:rRNA from 1 species
GGUAGGCUUAACACAUGCAAGUCGUGCGAGAAAGUAUCUUCGGAUAUGAGUAGAGCGGCGGACGGGUGAGUAACGCGUAGGAAUCUACCUAGUAGAAGGGGAUAGCCCGGGGAAACUCGGAUUAAUACCGUAUACCUCCUUUGGGAGAAAGAGGGCCUCUCUUGAUGCUCUCGCUAUUAGAUGAGCCUGCGUAAGAUUAGCUUGUUGGUAAGGUAAUGGCUUACCAAGGCUACGAUCUUUAGCUGGUCUGAGAGGACGAUCAGCCACAUUGGGACUGAGACACGGCCCAGACUCCUACGGGAGGCAGCAGUGGGGAAUAUUGGACAAUGGGCGCAAGCCUGAUCCAGCCAUACCGCGUGUGUGAAGAAGGCCUUCGGGUUGUAAAGCACUUUAAGCAGGGAGAAAAAGCUAUAAGUUAAUACCUUAUAGCCGUGAUGUUACCUGCAAAAUAAGCACCGG